CCUACGGGUGGCAGCAGUAGGGAAUUUUGCGCAAUGGGCGAAAGCCUGACGCAGCAACGCCGCGUGAUCGAGACGCCCUUCGGGGUGUAUAGAUCGGUCAGUGGGGACGAAACUUGUCGGUACCCACAGAGGAAGCACCGGCUAACUCCGUGCCAGCAGCCGCGGUAAUACGGGGGGUGCAAGCGUUGUCCGGAAUCAUUGGGCGUAAAGCGUUCGUAGGCGGCACGUAAAGUCUGGUGUUAAAGGCAGAGGCUCAACUUCUGUACGGCACUGGAUACUGGCGAGCUAGAAUGCGGUGGAGGUAGAGGGAAUUCCUGGUGUAGCGGUGAAAUGCUUAGAUAUGAGGAAGAACAUCGGUGGCGUAAGCGCUUUGCUGGGGCGUAAUUGACGCUGAGGAACGAAAGCCAGGGUAGCGAAUGGGAUUAGAUACCCCAGUAGUC
rnacentral:rRNA from 1 species